UACAGAGGUCCCAAGCGUUGUUCGGAUUCAUUGGGCGUAAAGGGUGCGUAGGCGGCGCGGUAAGUCGGGUGUGAAAUCUCGGAGCUUAACUCCGAAACUGCAUUCGAUACUGCCGUGCUUGAGGACUGGAGAGGAGACUGGAAUUUACGGUGUAGCGGUGAAAUGCGCAGAUAUCAGGAGGAACACCGGUGGCGAAGGCGGGUCUCUGGGCCGAUAUUGACGCUGAGGAGCGAAAGCGUGGGGAGCAAACAGG
rnacentral:rRNA from 1 species